rnacentral:rRNA from 1 species
CAUCCUCCAAGGCUAAAUACUCCUGACUGACCGAUAGUGAACCAGUACCGUGAGGGAAAGGCGAAAAGAACCCCGGCGAGGGGAGUGAAAAAGAACCUGAAACCGUGUACGUACAAGCAGUGGGAGCCCCACCACCAAAGCAUUUGCUGUACCGCGUUGACGGAGCGAAGCGACGUCAAACCGAUAAAACAGCAGUGUAAAGUGAGCCGCAGGGCGCUUUGCGCGACAGCGCAAAGGCAGGCGGUUUCGCGUAGCGAAAGCGAAUGCUUUGGGGUGGGGUGACUGCGUACCUUUUGUAUAAUGGGUCAGCGACUUAUAUUCUGUAGCAAGGUUAACCGAAUAGGGGAGCCGGAGGGAAACCGAGUCUUAAUUGGGCGUUAAGUUGCAGGGUAUAGACCCGAAACCCGGUGAUCUAGCCAUGGGCAGGUUGAAGGUUGGGUAACACUAACUGGAGGACCGAACCGACUAAUGUUGAAAAAUUAGCGGAUGACCUGUGGCU